AUGGGCGCGGCGCCCGAGCCCCUGACAGCGCCAUAAAUUGGCCGUGCAAAGCUGAGCGCUUGGUGGUCCCCGGGAGGAAAGAGCCGCCGCCGGCAGCGCGAAAAGACGAGUCCGGGAGCCCGCCAGGGAGCCAGUGGUGUUUUUUCCAGAUCACCUUGUUGGAACUUAGAGUAGCAGAGGUUCCUGAAAUAAUACAUGUAAAAAGAGAAAGACCAAAUGGAAUAAGAGAGAUUAUUAUUCCAACCCUGUAUUAUAAGCAUGUCAUGUGUUCGUAAAGAAUUGUUCAUCUGGUGAAGGAAUAAUAAAAUGUGACACGUGGAAGAAAGGAAACACAGCCAAGAGGCCCUGUUGCUGAGUGUUCUGAACAACAGACAACCUCUAAGGAUCCUCGCCUAUAAUCCUGGCUCUGCCUUCAAUUCACAGUAUGCCUUUGGGUUCCUCUCGGGGCAAGUGCGGGCUCUGCUCCGCAAGUCCUCAGUGCCUGAUUCGGAGUGAAGCAGCCACCAUGAGAAGCAUGGCCCGUCACCGUGGCGGAGGGAAAGAGUUCCACUACGACAGCCACCAGCCAGCCACAGGCAGCUUUGGGAACGUGAAAUGGCACCCAUGUGAAUUGAGACGGUUCUAAGUCUAAAAUACGCACCAAAGCUC